AUUGAACGCUGGCGGCAUGCUUUACACAUGCAAGUCGAACGGUAACAGGUCUUCGGAUGCUGACGAGUGGCGAACGGGUGAGUAAUGCAUCGGAACGUGCCCAGUCGUGGGGGAUAACGCAGCGAAAGCUGCGCUAAUACCGCAUACGAUCUAUGGAUGAAAGCGGGGGACCGUGAGGCCUCGCGCGAUUGGAGCGGCCGAUGUCAGAUUAGUUAGUUGGUGGGGGAAAGGCCCACCAAGGCGACGAUCUGUAGCUGGUCUGAGAGGACGACCAGCCACACGGGGACUGAGACACGGCCCAGACUCCUACGGGAGGCAGCAGUGGGGAAUUUUGGACAAUGGGCGCAAGCCUGAUCCAGCAAUGACGCGUGCAGGAAGAAGGCCUUCGGGUUGUAAACUGCUUUUGUACGGAACGAAACGGUCUGGGUUAAUACCUCGGGCUAAUGACGGUACCGUAAGAAUAAGCACCGGCUAACUACGUGCCAGCCGCCGCGGUAAGAC
rnacentral:rRNA from 1 species